AGAAAGUGAAACCUUUCUUUCAGGAUAAAAGGAAAAGAAUUUUGUGAUGACUGCUCCACUUGUUGAUAAAGAUAUUCCUCUUGCAAUGUCUUUAUGAGUUGCACCAGCCAACGAUCUACUCAUUAGAUAUUGUGGAAGUGGUGAACCAAGAUCUCUUAAUCUAGUACCUACAGCUUUCAACAAUACCUCUACAGAAAAAGAAAUACCCAAAGCCAACUAAAAAUGAAAUUUAAAAACAUUUCUCCUCCUUAUAUACACAUAUUACUUCCGGAAGUCAGCUGAUCGUAAGGAACAUAUAUACGCACAAGUUUGCUAAUCCUCGGACGAGGAGGACUUUGACAAAAUAUACAAUAUCGUAUAGAAUAAAUUAAUGUUAAACAUUAUACCUCGUUCAACUGCCAAAUAAAACAGCUACCGAUCGAAGGAAAUUUUCAUCCCGAUACUUCCUCAAACAAAUCACACGCCAUCUUAACAAACCGUAUAGAUGCCGCUGGUAUAUGUUAUAAUAGAGAAUAGUUUGACGUAGCGGUGUCCUUAGCUACUCAUCCUUUUGUUCGAGUUGUUUGAUUUCUCUGGUAUUUAAUAACAAUUGUUUAUUGUAUCGG
rnacentral:lncRNA from 1 species